rnacentral:rRNA from 1 species
UCUUGGUCAUUUAGAGGAAGUAAAAGUCGUAACAAGGUUUCCGUAGGUGAACCUGCGGAAGGAUCAUUAAUGAGAUUAGCAUCUGGACAAAGGUUGUUGCUGGCUACUUGCAUGUGCACGCCUUGACCCAGAUGUUAUUUGUCCUCUUUACACCUGUGCACCAUCUGUAGUUGGGGGAUGAUCACGAGAUUGUCGAAUGCCCCUUGCUACGAAUUUGUUUACAUUGCCCUAAUAUAAAAAGUUUUUUGGAAUGUUUGUGGAAUUGGAAAUACAACUUUCAGCAACGGAUCUCUUGGCUCUCGCAUCGAUGAAGAACGCAGCGAAAUGCGAUAAGUAAUGUGAAUUGCAGAAUUCAGUGAAUCAUCGAAUCUUUGAACGCACCUUGCGCUCCUUGGUAUUCCGAGGAGCAUACCUGUUUGAGUGUCAUGGAAAUUCUCAACUGCUUUGGCUUUGUUGUCUAAAGUGAAGUUGGAUAUGGAGUUUUGUUGUCGGCUUUGGUUCGGCUGUUCCAAAAAGCAUUGAAGCUUUUUCUUAUAUCUUGGCAGAAAGUAUCUUUGACGUGAUAAUUGUCUACGUCGUAGAGAAAAGCCUUGGAAACUUAGUCUAUUCUAAGAAAAUGAGAAAAAGCUUCUACAACCUUUUUAUGAUCUAUUCGACCUCAAAUCAGGUAGGACUACCCGCUGAACUUAAGCAUAUCAAUAAGCGGAGGAA